rnacentral:rRNA from 1 species
CACGUAGGGGGCGAGCGUUGUCCGGAUUUAUUGGGCGUAAAGAGCUCGUAGGCGGCUCGGUAAGUCAGGUGUGAAAACUCUAGGCUCAACCUAGAGACGCCACCUGAUACUGCUGUGGCUAGAGUCCGGUGGGGGAGCAUGGAAUUCCUGGUGUAGCGGUGAAAUGCGCAGAUAUCAGGAGGAACACCAGUGGCGAAGGCGGUGCUCUGGGCCGGAACUGACGCUGAGGCGCGAAAGCUAGGGGAGCGAACAGG